rnacentral:rRNA from 1 species
ACGACUGCUAAUACUCUAUACUCCUGCUUAACACAAGUUGAGUAGGGAAAGUUUUUCGGUGUAGGAUGAGACUAUAUAGUAUCAGCUAGUUGGUAAGGUAAUGGCUUACCAAGGCUAUGACGCUUAACUGGUCUGAGAGGAUGAUCAGUCACACUGGAACUGAGACACGGUCCAGACUCCUACGGGAGGCAGCAGUAGGGAAUAUUGCGCAAUGGGGGAAACCCUGACGCAGCAACGCCGCGUGGAGGAUGACACUUUUCGGAGCGUAAACUCCUUUUCUUAGGGAAGAAUUCUGACGGUACCUAAGGAAUAAGCACCGGCUAACUCCGUGCCAGCAGCCGCGGUAAUACGGAGGGUGCAAGCGUUACUCGGAAUCACUGGGCGUAAAGGGCGCGUAGGCGGAUUAUCAAGUCUCUUGUGAAAUCUAAUGGCUUAACCAUUAAACUGCUUGGGAAACUGAUAGUCUAGAGUGAGGGAGAGGCAGAUGGAAUUGGUGGUGUAGGGGUAAAAUCCGUAGAUAUCACCAAGAAUACCCAUUGCGAAGGCGAUCUGCUGGAACUCAACUGACGCUAAGGCGCGAAAGCGUGGGGAGCAAACAGGAUUAGAUACCCUGGUAGUCCACGCCCUAAACGAUGUACACUAGUUGUUGGGGUGCUAGUCAUCUCAGUAAUGCAGCUAACGCAUUAAGUGUACCGCCUGGGGAGUACGGUCGCAAGAUUAAAACUCAAAGGAAUAGACGGGGACCCGCACAAGCGGUGGAGCAUGUGGUUUAAUUCGAAGAUACGCGAAGAACCUUACCUGGGCUUGAUAUCCUAAGAACCUUAUAGAGAUAUGAGGGUGCUAGCUUGCUAGAACUUAGAGACAGGUGCUGCACGGCUGUCGUCAGCUCGUGUCGUGAGAUGUUGGGUUAAGUCCCGCAACGAGCGCAACCCACGUAUUUAGUUGCUAACGGUUCGGCCGAGCACUCUAAAUAGACUGCCUUCGUAAGGAGGAGGAAGGUGUGGACGACGUCAAGUCAUCAUGGCCCUUAUGCCCAGGGCGACACACGUGCUACAAUGGCAUAUACAAUGAGACGCAAUACCGCGAGGUGGAGCAAAUCUAUAAAAUAUGUCCCAGUUCGGAUUGUUCUCUGCAACUCGAGAGCAUGAAGCCGGAAUCGCUAGUAAUCGUAGAUCAGCCAUGCUACGGUGAAUACGUUCCCGGGUCUUGUACUCACCGCCCGUCACACCAUGGGAGUUGAUUUCACUCGAAGCCGGAAUACUAAACUAGUUACCGUCCACAGUGGAAUCAGCGACUGGGGUGAAGUCGUAACAAGGUAACCGUAGGAGAACCUGCGGUUGGAUCACCUCCUUU